GGUGUGCGCCAGAGUAGCCACGCUUUCUCUGCUGCCCUACAGAGCCGGACGUCAGCUGUGAAGGUUGUGGGUCCUGGAACUCCAGACAUGAGCGUAGGCUUCAUCGGGGCAGGGCAGCUAGCCUUUGCCCUAGCCAAGGGCUUCACAGCUGCAGGUGUUCUGGCUGCUCACAAGAUAAUGGCCAGCUCCCCAGACAUGGACCAAGCCACAGUCUCUGCCCUCCGGGUAGGUGCCAGGCGAAAGCAGAUAGAAAGCCUGAACCUUUUUAGCGUUAGGGUCUAGUGUUAGGUGUGCAGCACACCUCACCUUGUGAGGGCCAGGUAUGCAGCCCCCCACU
rnacentral:lncRNA from 1 species